AAUCAACGCUGGCGGCGUGCCUAACACAUGCAAGUCGAACGAGAAAGGGGAGCAAUCCCUGAGUAAAGUGGCGACCGGGUGAGUAACACGUGACUAACCUACCCUCGAGUGUGGAAUAACAUCGGGAAACCGAUGCUAAUACCGCAUAACAUCGCAAGAUCAAAGGAGCAAUCCGCUUGAGGAGGGGGUCGCGGCUGAUUAGCUAGUUGGCGGGGUAACGGCCCACCAAGGCGAAGAUCGGUAGCCGGCCUGAGAGGGCGCACGGCCACACUGGAACUGAAACACGGUCCAGACUCCUACGGGAGGCAGCAGUGGGGAAUUUUGCGCAAUGGGGGAAACCCUGACGCAGCAACGCCGCGUGGAGGAUGAAGCCCCUUGGGGCGUAAACUCCUUUCGACCAAGACGAUAAUGACGGUACUGGUGGAAGAAGCACCGGCUAACUCUGUGCCAGCAGCCGCGGUAAUACAGAGGGUGCAAGCGUUGUUCGGAAUUAUUGGGCGUAAAGGGUGCGUAGGCGGCACGGUAAGUCACCUGUGAAAUCUCUGGGCUUAACUCAGAGCCUGCAGGCGAAACUGCCG
rnacentral:rRNA from 1 species